GAGGGUAUAGCUCAGUAGUAGAGUGUGUGCCUAGCAUGUACAAGGUCCUGGGUUCAAUCCCCAGCACUUCCA
rnacentral:tRNA from 1 species